CGUAGGUGGCAAGCGUUGUCCGGAUUUACUGGGCGUAAAGAGCGCGCAGGCGGCCGAGUAAGUCGAAUGUGAAAGCCCCCGGCUCAACUGGGGAAGGGUCAUUCGAUACUGUUCGGCUUGAAGAUAGGAGAGGGAAGCGGAAUUUCAGGUGUAGUGGUGAAAUGCGUAGAUAUCUGAAGGAACACCAGUGGCGAAGGCGGCUUUCUGGCCUAUUCUUGACGCUGAGGCGCGAAAGCUAGGGGAGCGAACGGGAUU
rnacentral:rRNA from 1 species